CCAUUUCUCCUGCAUUGUCAGGCAGAUUCUUUACCUCUGAGCGACCAGGGGAGCCCCUAGUGUACCUAUUUUUGUAUUGUUUCUCUCACCUACUAGAUCAAGUUUCUUCGGGAUGCAUUCUUAUUCAGCCUCAAAUUCUCCACAGGGUUUUCCACACUGUAGGGACACACACAGUGAAAAAUCAAACAUUUAUUCAAUUACUUAGCAGAAUGAUUCAGCCCUAUAGUCACAAUGUGUGAGCCUUCCAACAGAUGUUAACAAUCUCUUGUAUUAGGUCCUCUUCCAAGACCUGGGGCUUGGUGAAACACAAGCAAAAAUCUACCAUCCUUAUAGAACUAACAUUUUAAUGACACUAGUUGUAUUAUGUCAAGAGAACCUACUCCAAAAAGGAAACUUACACUUUCUAUCUCUAUGGAAUUUUUAAAUAGUCUACGCAUUAAUAGUGGAGGCUUUGAAACUGCACUUUUGCCUUAUGAGGUAACUGCAGACAACAGAUCAUGUAUGGAAGGUUUUCUGAUAGUUUAGGUUGUUCUCAUAAACAUAGCCAAUAUCUUUGAUUUUUUUAAAAAAAAGCUAGAGUAAGUUGAUAACAUAAGGCAGUGAAAAUGCUUUGAAAGCAUCUAAAUGCAAUUCUCUGCCCUCUGUGGACACUGUGAAGAAAUCACAUCUACCCCUCCAUAGCAUGGAUCAGAAAGGGUUAUGAGAAAAGAGAACUUUGAAAAAGGCAGGAUCAGCACUGUGUCCAAGAGUGAAAGUCAAAUUCAAGAGGAAGUGCUUGUCCUACAUUGGCCAAUAGAAGCAGGAGCACACAGAGGAGGAUUAGAAGACAAAUCAACUAAAGCUAAUUGUAGUCGCUCUCAACAGUAGAGAAGCAAAAGGCCAGACUCUUCAAAGUCUUUGUAAAAGGCCAGAACAGGAUGGAUGGUAUUAAGGAAUUAUUAAUACUUACUGAGCUCUUGCAGAUAAUGAAAAGUUAAUCUGCUUACAGAACCUUGGCAACACCAAAAAAAAAAAAAAAAAAAAAAACCAAUGUCUCUUUUAAGAUGCUGAAGAUUACCUAAAAAGCCUGUCAGCAGAACCAUGACAUGCGUAGAUGUGGUGCCUGAUGCUCCCUGGCUGAGGAUUCUUUCUGACGAAAUACAAGCUACCCACCUGUGACUAAAGGUAUUAAGAGUGAUGAAAAAUAUGGACAGGAUGACAAAGGAUGUGUACCAAAUGCAACGUAAAGACAAAUAAUCAAGCAAACGGGUUUUAUGAGAAAAGAUGAAAAGCUGCCCAUGAACUGCAAGGAAUCAGAGUGGAACUGAAAAAAGCCCAGAAAAAUGUGAAACUUGUACAUGGUCAUCCCAAUGCAGCAGUGUCCCCAUGGAAGAUGAUUUCUUGGGAUUUGGACAAGAGAGAAUAGACAAGCUUGGAAAUGUCAUCCUUUCUCAUGACUUAAAGUAACCAAAAUAAUUUUUAACAGCAUUAAUUUUUGGCCUUUAAUCUGGCGAUUUAGGGCUUCCCUGGUGGUGCAGUGGUGAGGAAUCCACUUGGCAAUGCAGGAGAAAUGGGUUUGGAUCCCUGGUCUGGGAAGAUCCCACAUGCUGAGGAGAAACUAAGUCCAUGUGGCACGACAAGCCUGUGUGCUCGUGUCCAGGAGCUGCAGCCGCUGGACUGGCUCACUUUGGGGUCGGUUCUCUGCAACAGGUGAAGCCACUGCAAUGAGAAGUCCGCACACAGCAACUGGAGAGUGGCCUCGCUUGCUGUAACUAGAGAAAAGCCCACACAGCAAUGAAAACCCCGUG
ensembl:lncRNA